rnacentral:rRNA from 1 species
CCUACGGGAGGCAGCAGUGAGGAAUAUUGGUCAAUGGGCGGGAGCCUGAACCAGCCAAGUCGCGUGAGGGAAGACGGUCCUAUGGAUUGUAAACCUCUUUAGGCGGGGAGCAAUGCCGGGCACGCGUGCCCGGAGGGAGAGUACCCGCAGAAUAAGCAUCGGCUAACUCCGUGCCAGCAGCCGCGGUAAUACGGAGGAUGCGAGCGUUAUCCGGAUUUAUUGGGUUUAAAGGGUGCGUAGGCGGAUUUUUAAGUCAGCGGUAAAAUGUCCGGGCUCAACCCGGGCCGGCCGUUGAAACUGCUCUUCUAGAGUGGGCGAGAAGUAUGCGGAAUGCGUGGUGUAGCGGUGAAAUGCAUAGAUAUCACGCAGAACUCCGAUUGCGAAGGCAGCAUACCGGCGCCCAACUGACGCUCAUGCACGAAAGCGUGGGUAUCGAACAGGAUUAGAUACCCUUGUAGUC